rnacentral:lncRNA from 1 species
AGCUCUAAACCCUCCCAAGACAAGGUUUCAGCCCAUUCACUUGGAAGCACAAAAAUCCCUCAACAUACCAUAGAUUACAACUAUCAACUUCAACAACUAACAACCUUAACAACAAUUUCCAACAACUUCAACAACGAACCCAAUCCUUCCUCAAUAAUUAAAAGGGCUAGGUGUGCGGGGGAAAGGAUCACCCAACACUAAAAGCUCACAUACCUUGGUCGGGAUCACC